AUGGAGCGGACCUUCAUGAUCUUGGCGAUCUCGAUGACGUCGUCGAGGCUGAUGUUGCCGUUGUGCUUGAUGUUCUUGACCUUCUUGCGGUCCCUCUCGGGCUCCUUGAGCGCCUUGAUGACGAGGGCUGCGGCGGAGGGGACGACGGACACCUUGGCCUGGCGAUUCUGGACGGUGAGCUUGACGGUGACGCGGAGGCCCUUCCAGUCCUUGGCCGUCUCCUUGGCGAUGUCUUCUCCGAUCUUCUUUGGGGAGAGACCGAGCGGACCGAUCUUGGGGGCCAGGGACGACGCAGCGCCGACCUCCCCGCCGGUGACGCGGACAUACACCUCCACGAUCUGGGACGGGUCGAGCUUGGGAGGCAUGGCUGCGAGCUUGGGCUGGGGAGGAUUGGCUGUGGGUGUGGCGGCGGCUGGAGUUGGAGAUGCUAGGGUUUGA
rnacentral:rRNA from 1 species